GUUGGCUGAUGAAAGUUUGCUUCGUGAAAUUUUUCACGCGUUUUAUAAGAUAAAACCUUGUUCGAUAAUGUCAAAUUAUCCUGAUAUCGUUAAUAAAAUUGGAAAAGAUUCGUCGAGGGCUGCUUGCAAGAAGUGUGGUUAUGCGGGACAUUUAACAUUUCAAUGUCGAAAUUUUAUUAAAAUAGAUCCAAAUAAAGAGAUAGUAUUGGAUGUGAGUAGUACAAGCAGUGACAGUGAUGAUUAUGCAACACCACUUCAGUCACUAAGAGAAGCAGAACUGAAACAGAAACUAGCGGAGAAACUUAAGAAAGCUAAGCAGAAAAAAAGUACUAAGAAAAGAAAGAGAUCUACAUCAUCAAGUUCCUCCUCCAGUAGUGAUAGCAGUUCAUCAUCAGAUUCAUCCGAUAGCAGUUCAGAAGAAGAUAUAAAAAAGAAAAGAAAGGAAAAGAAAUCUAAGAAAACAAAGAAGAAAUCUCAUAAAAAAAAGAAAAGCAAGAAAUGAUUGCAAAUUUACAUUUUAAGUUUACAUUUGUAUUUAGGAUUUCUUAUUAUUUUAAAAAUAAUUUCUAAUGUAUCGAAAACAGCUUACUGCUAUCCCAUGUAUAAACUGCUAGAUUUUUGAUAGCCUUGAACUAUCCUUAUUUUUAAAUAGUAUUCAAUAAAUCUCAUUAUCUAAAUAAAAUCCUAGUAUUCAGUUAAAAUAUUAAAAGUUAUAGUUCAUAGAAGACUGAUAAUGUUUAAUCAUCUAAUUAUUAUUUGUGGUAAAAUUUAAUAAAUACUUAUAUAGUAUAGUAAUAACCUUAUAAUAUUGUGACAUUUUUAAUACCCUGAUUUAACAAAUUUCUGGGAAGUUACAUUAUAUUUUGUAUGAACAUAGUUUUAUAUUUUAAUAAAUACUUCAAUAUCAGAUUAAUUAAUAGUAAUUUAGGUAAUAAACAUAAAUAAUCGUUGAUUCUUAUCAUAUUUUAUCUCUUACCAUUGAUCACACUCAUGCACACCAGUCAUUAAACCAAUACUCUGUUGUCAAAGUUAGUGCCUGAAUACAGGUUAAUCUAAAUAUAGUGUUCAAAUCAUGAAAUUGAAUUUUAUCUUUUUAGUUACUUUUUUAAUCAAUGAUGCAUUAGUAUAAACUUAAUCUAUAAUAGGCAAUGAUAAACAUAAAAAAUCAGAAAGUGUUAGUUUUUUACUAGUAUACAACUGUUAUGCGGACAUGAUACCGAAAAGUAAUAGAGUGCAAUUACAUAUUACUAUUUAUUAAUAUAGUAAAAAUAGGAAAGCUGUGUCUAUAGAUCAAAUCUUUUUUGAUAACUAAUAGGUAAACUAGAAUGUUACAUACUAGUAAACUAGAUAUAAACAAAAUACUAAUCCAUAAACUUUUUGUUUGUGUGUUCACAUAUUAUGCAAAAACUGCUUAAUGGAUUUUGAUGGAAUUUGUUAUGAUGAGAACUGAUUACUGAGGUACAAUACAUAGGAUAUUGUUUACAGCAAUACUGUCAUUCCCACGGUAAAAUACAAUCUGUCUACCAGAUGGUUAAUGCGUAGCCAAUUGUACGUAGUUCUUUCAUGUUAGUGAUUCCAACAGCAUGUGCUUAUAUAGCUUACAAGAAGGCUACACAAAUAUAAAAUGUUACUAAUAUUGUAUUUCUCCUUAUUCAUUGGCUAUUUUUCUCCAUUGAUAAUUGCUAAUAUACAAGAUUUUUAAAUUAAGAAACAUAUUUUGGGGUAUUAGUUUUUUUGGAACAUGCUAUGCUUUUAUUAGAUUGUUUGAUAUAAAAAUAUGUAAUAUACUAAAAUAUUAUGUUCUAUGUUUAUAUAAGAAUAUUUUUAAUGUAAAACUGUAUUUCUAAGCCUUUUAAUUACAAGCAGACAAAGUUGCCGGGACAGGGAUUUUAUCUUAUGACUAUACUAUGUAACUAAAUGUUUAUGUUAUAUUAAUGUAUUCAAAAACAGGGUUCAAUGUUAGUAACCUAGGCGAAUGGAAUGUGUGCUAAAGUACUUGAAAGUAAAAUUUAUCUGAAAAAAUAAUCAAGUCAAAGAGUCAGAGUGGAAAGGGUUAUGGUAAUAUGAUUUGCACGAGCGUUCCUAUUUUCUAAUUGCAGAAGGCUCCUGAAAAUGAUAUUGUCCAUUUGGGGACGUUAAAAAGAAAUUCUAGAAAUGCAAAUGGCUAAUAUAUAAAACAAUAAAGGUAAUAAAAUGAUGAAAUGUGUUAAAGUUUUAUUACCACUUUUGUAAUGAAUCGUGAAUGUGUAUUAUUAUUCGAAAUAA